UACGGAGGGUGCGAGCGUUGUCCGGAAUCAUUGGGCGUAAAGGGCUCGUAGGCGGUUUGUCGCGUCAGGAGUGAAAACUCGGGGCUUAACCCCGAGCCUGCUUCUGAUACGGGCAGACUAGAGGUAUGCAGGGGAGAACGGAAUUCCUGGUGUAGCGGUGAAAUGCGCAGAUAUCAGGAGGAACACCGGUGGCGAAGGCGGUUCUCUGGGCAUUACCUGACGCUGAGGAGCGAAAGUGUGGGGAGCGAACAGG
rnacentral:rRNA from 1 species